GACGAACGCUGGCGGCGUGCCUAAUACAUGCAAGUAGAACGCACAGUUUAUACCGUAGCUUGCUACACCAUAGACUGUGAGUUGCGAACGGGUGAGUAACGCGUAGGUAACCUGCCUGGUAGCGGGGGAUAACUAUUGGAAACGAUAGCUAAUACCGCAUAAUAUUGAUUAUUGCAUGAUAAUUAAUUGAAAGGUGUAAUUGCACCACUACCAGAUGGACCUGCGUUGUAUUAGCUAGUAGGUGAGGUAACGGCUCACCUAGGCGACGAUACAUAGCCGACCUGAGAGGGUGAUCGGCCACACUGGGACUGAGACACGGCCCAGACUCCUACGGGAGGCAGCAGUAGGGAAUCUUCGGCAAUGGACGAAAGUCUGACCGAGCAACGCCGCGUGAGUGAAGAAGGGUUUCGGAUCGUAAAGCUCUGUUGUAAGAGAAGAACGGGUGUGAGAGUGGAAAGUUCACACUGUGACGGUAUCUUACCAGAAAGGGACGGCUAACUACGUG
rnacentral:rRNA from 1 species